UGACGAGCGGCGGACGGGUGAGUAAUGCAUAGGAAUCUGCCCGAUAGUGGGGGAUAACCUGGGGAAACCCAGGCUAAUACCGCAUACGUCCUACGGGAGAAAGGGGGCUCCGGCUCCCGCUAUUGGAUGAGCCUAUGUCGGAUUAGCUAGUUGGUGAGGUAAAGGCUCACCAAGGCGACGAUCCGUAGCUGGUCUGAGAGGAUGAUCAGCCACAUCGGGACUGAGACACGGCCCGAACUCCUACGGGAGGCAGCAGUGGGGAAUAUUGGACAAUGGGG
rnacentral:rRNA from 1 species